rnacentral:lncRNA from 1 species
AAUAUUUUCUGAAACAAUAUAACUUUUGUCCAAAUAGUGCAACUUUCGUUUCAAAUAGUGCAACUUUCAUCUCGAACAAUAUAAUUUUCUUAUGAAACAGCACAAAUUUAUUUUAACGAUACAACCUUCAUAUUUUUUCUUCCUUUUUCUUUGAUUCUUGGCCUUUCCAAUAACAGCGACGAUAUAUAAUAGUCUUUCGAAGAGAAAUUUUUUUCUUUACUUCUUUUUUACUUUUUAUUCUUCAUUUCUUUCUACCCUCUACAUCUUUUUUCGUGCCUUG